CAGAGAAUAGUUUAUUUUAAAAUAUUAAUUUUGGAGAUUAAAGAUAAAUAUUUAUUUUUCUCUGA
rnacentral:tRNA from 1 species